CCAGACUCCUACGGGAGGCAGCAGUGGGGGAUAUUGCACAAUGGGGGGAACCCUGAUGCAGCGACGCCGCGUGGGUGAAGAAGCGCCUCGGCGCGUAAAGCCCUGUCAGCAGGGAAGAAAAUGACGGUACCUGACCAAGAAGCCCCGGCUAACUACGUGCCAGCAGCCGCGGUAAUACGUAGGGGGCAAGCGUUAUCCGGAUUUACUGGGUGUAAAGGGAGCGUAGGCGGCUGUGUAAGCCAGAAGUGAAAGCCCGAGGCUCAACCACGGGACUGCUUUUGGAACUACAUGGUUCGAUUGCAGGAGAGGCAAGUGGAAUUCCUAGUGUAGCGGUGAAAUGCGUAGAUAUUAGGAGGAACACCAGUGGCGAAGGCGGCUUGCUGGACUGUAAAUGACGCUGAGGCUCGAAAGCGUGGGGAGCAAACAGGAUUAGAUACCCCAGUACC
rnacentral:rRNA from 1 species